AUGUCUGCCACGGCGGGGGACGAGGCGGCGGUGGCGGAGCGCCUGGAGGCGCUGCGGAGGAAGCUGGGCAAGAAGCAGCACUUCGAGGAGGCCGUCGCCGACCUCGCCGCCACGCUCCGCGACCGCUACGCCGGCGCCUCGCCCGCCCUCCGCGAGUCGAUGUACUCUACGGUUUGCCGUGUUGCAACCGUCCUUCAGACUAGAUAUACAGCACCUGGAUUCUGGCGUGCUGGUCUGAACCUCUUCGUAGCAACAGAGAAGCUGUUAACUAAUCCUGCUGAAAAGGAACGCCUCAAAACCUGCAUUUUGAGGGCCCGGGAGCAUCUUGAUGAAAAAGAAAAUGAGGAGUCAAUGCCAACCAACAGAGAACCAGACACUAGAUUCCUUUUUGAAGGCCAUCUUACCGUGGGACAAGAACCUCCUCCUCCAGCAUGGCUUGUCGCCCAGAAUUUAACACGAGAAUUGAACAUCUUAGCGGAACCUUCUGGAGAUCAAAACGGGAACAACACUAGAACGGAGUUGAGGCCUGAGGAGAUGACACCUGCUAUAAUGAACUUCUUAAACACCAUAUCAGGGGACGCGGAGCUUGAGAGUGCCUUGGAAGCAUCACUGCAGGGUAUCACAAUGCAGCCCAAGGUACCACCGGCUUCAAAGGAGGUCGUUGCUAAUCUCCCGGUUGUAACUGUUACUGAAGAAGUCAUUGCUAGGCUGGGCAGUGAGACUGAGUGUGCUGUUUGCCGGGAAAACUUGGUUGUGGAUGACAAGAUGCAGGAGUUGCCGUGCAAGCACCUUUUCCAUCCUCCUUGCCUCAAGCCGUGGCUGGAUGAGAACAACUCAUGCCCGAUCUGCCGGCACGAGCUGAGGACGGACGACCAUGCGUAUGAGAGCCGGAAGGAGCGGGAGCGAGAGGAGGAGGAAGACAGGAAGGGAGCGGCCAAUGCUGUCAGGGGUGGGGAAUUCAUGUACAUCUGA
rnacentral:rRNA from 1 species